rfam:Ovis aries breed Texel chromosome 7, whole genome shotgun sequence.
AGCUUUGUGCAGUGGCAGUAUUGUACCAAUGAGGUUUAUCCAAGGUGUGAUUAUUGCUACUUAAAAAGUUGAUCAGUGCUGUGAUCCUAAUAGAUUUAAAAAAAUCACCUAACUUGGAAGACAGAGGUUUAAACAUGCAAUGUAUAUGGAACUGUGAAAAAUGGAUAUCCAU